CUUGGUGAGGAUGCGGCUGGAUCACACUCGUUCCCAUUCCGAACACGACAGUAAAGACAGCUAGCAGUGACAAUAUUUAGAUCGCAAGGUCUUGAGAAGAUAACCAUUCGCCAGGG
rnacentral:rRNA from 2 species